ensembl:lncRNA
GUGAGAGUAUGUACACAAUAGCCGGCUGUCAUGUACGUAACCAUGGAAUCCGCUGUACAGGCUUCAGGACACAAUACCCAUCUAUUGACCUCUGUUUCUUCGGCCUUCUGUCUGAAACUUAGAGAAGAAAAAGGUGUGUGUUUUCAAUGUUCCCAUGUUUUCAAAUGUCCAAAUCCCCUGGACCUUCUCCCAGUUCCCCAAUUGAGAUAAGUAUGUGGUGUCUAUUUUGACACGUGCAUACCCCUCGGUUAAACGAAGUCUAAAUUAAGUUGGGAAGAAAUUAGUUUCUCUUUGUAUAUUUUUGCAGCAGCUGCAGUAGAUUUUACACUUUUUUUGCGGUAAAAGUCCCUAUAAAAAAGCCAAAAACAUUUACUUCACCUGGCAGUUCAUGUGCUUUCACAUGCCUCAAUAAAACUGCAUAGACUGUGCUGUAAAUUGUGCAUGUCAUGAAGAAAACAUGUGCAGAGUCUGAUGAUUUUCAUGCUUUUGUUUAUGAUUCUCUUUGUUUAUGGCCCUUCAACGAGCGAAACUGUGCCUUUUUACAGCUUAAAAAUAUAUAGGAUUGUCUCUGUAGGAAAAGGCUCUAUAAAAUGUUUGUUUUUUUUAAAGCUUUGUCAAAGUCCUUUUGCCACAUUCUCACUGUGCCAUUUCCUCUCAUCCGGUGACGGCGAGUGGAUUUAUGGGUGUGCGGUUGCCCAGAAGACAAUGUACUGUACCUCCCUGCAGAGCCUGUCAUACAGGCUGAUGUAUCACCCCCCGCCCCCACACUGCCCCUCCCCUCUCCAUGCUUUAUGAUGGAAACUGAUACAAACACUGUGAUAGGGUUUCUGGAUAAAUUAUUCACACUUCCAAUGCUCACUCCCUGUUGCCGGUUCGCUUCUUACAGGACGUCCACUCGACAAAUGGAGCCUCCUUUUUUUUUUUUUAGACCUCGUCCUUUUAAUUGAUCCGCGGCAAAGAAACGAUACACGCGUGAUUGAGAGAGCGGAGGAUCGCGCGGUUGAAAGUUCAGGCUGGCCCGGGGCCGGUGUGGCCCGCGCUGCGGGGGCAUUAGGUGCCUUAAGAUUUACUGCCUGGUAAAUGAAAUGGAUGUCCAUCGGGUUGCAGGGGGCGGCACAUCAACGGAGCACCGGUCUGAUGUCUCUACCAUCUGGUAGGAUAGGCCUUUAAUUGAAAAGAAUUUCUGGACUGAAGGGGAAGAGCUGGACCAAGUCUCCCAGUCCCCCAAGAGAGAGAAGUAAUGAAAAGAAAAUAACUUCUCUCCUCUUUAGUGCCUAUGGAAGCCAUAAAGAAUAACAGGACAUGGUGAUAUAACAGACACACCGCCGUAGUGAGUGGGUGAAUAACUUUCAUAUUGCAGCCUGCCAUCUGCUAAGACGGUUAGGAAGCCAAUUGGAUUAAACGUUAUGGCCACUUUCCUCACCGCGACUUUUAGAAAAACCUUCAGGGUUGCAGUUCAUAAAGCAUUUCUUUGUCAGAUUUAUUUAGACAUGAUAGAUGUGUUUUUACUUUUGUGUCUCACCCACUCCAUACUCCCACUUUGAGAUUUAAAGAAAGAAAAAAAAACAGGACAGGAGUGAAGGCAGAAUAACAACACUCACCUCUUAAUGUAGCUUCUUACCGAGGCCAGACACAGCCGGCGCGCUAGUCUCUGCGUGCGGAUGGAAAUCCUGCAGGUUUUAUCUCAGAAAAAUCACGGAUCUGAUUGUCUGUGUUUGGAUCAGUGUCCGUUUUGGAGAUUUAGGGGUUGAGCGUACAUCACAGCUUCGGUAUGCUGGUGUGGCACAAAGACACCUUUCCACUUGACAGCUUUGCCGUCUGCGAUGAGCACGCUGCCAGCUCAGCUGGCUUCCUCUAAUGACAAUCCUCCCGGCUCCCAGACUAUUUAACUGUGUGAGAAAAUAUAUCGUUUACAUUCACUUUCUGAAAAGGAAAAACCCAAAUGGUUGCGUACGAACCGAUUCCCUGUCGACAAUUGCGUACGCCGCAUGAGGUCAUCAGCAAAAUUAUUUUAAGCACUCAAAGGACACACACACACAAGGUAAAUAGAUAUAGAUACUAAAGGUACACAAUAAAGAAAGUCACAUGUAGGAAACAUCAAUGGCAGAUACUGUGCUGCAGUAGAGGAAAUAAAAACAAGCGGUAAUAAUGAGGAUUUUCAACAUCUAUUUUUCCACGUCUUUGUGAAUGUCUGCCGUGUUGAAGCAAGGCAGACAAGGCCCCCUUUGAGCCAACGUCUAAUGUCUCUUGUGUGUUUUGGCAUUUGUUACUUUUAACAGGCAUCACACGUGCACACACAAAUGAAACAGCACACAGCAUGCACGCACACACACACACGCGCACACACACACACACACAUACACACAGAUGUUUGGAUUUCACGUCUGCGUUUGCAAAUAUGCGUUGGUGCUUUCCCAAAAGACUCAUUGCAUUACAAAUUGUUCUAAAGACGGACGGAGGAUAGGGUGGCAGAUGCUGCGAUGCCUUUUCGCUUUCUGGCUGUGACUUUUGAGUUGACGAAAUAAGAACGCCGUCGCUGAAUCUGCAAGAUACGAAGGAAAACACUCCUGUCAACGGAGCAAGAGCACUUGAGUAAGCCGCAGUCUCAUGGCGAGGAAAAGUGUAAUCAGAUACGGCUCCAGUCGCAAAUUCAACAUUGAACAAAUUGCGCAUCGGUAAAACAUUUUGUUAAAACAAUAGCCAAGAAUAGGCCGCGUGACGCAGGCGCUGUGUGUGUACAUGUGUGUGUGCGCGUGUGUGCGCAUGGUCGUACCUUGUCCACCGACAUGGACCCCAUUAGAUCAGAUGACAGCACUUCAUAAUAUUGACACAUUCACAGCAUCAAGUGUGCUAUUCAUGAGGUCACUGCGCUGAUGAUAUACUGUGUGCACCUGACAUGUCACAGUCUAAUUUUGAAGCCACAGUCACUAGACAAAAUGAGAGAAAGUUGAGCCUUAUGGAUAUAUAAUGUUCUAUACACAGCCACAUUAUGUAGAUGAGUACUGAUCUAAAAUGCUUAUGUAAAGCAAGAGUUAAUCUCAGGAAUAGUUGUAGUCUAUUUUAUAUCUUUAGGCCUAUAUGAUCAUUUGGGAUCUCUAUGUUGGGGCCUAUUUGAACAUGUGUUUUUAUGUGUGUGCUUUAACCUUGAAGGUACUCAAUACAAACUGGGGCAUAGGGCCUGGGCCUGGGGGAAUAGACCUGGGGCGUAGGGUAUGGGGCAAUGAACC